UGUGCGAAGUUAGCAUAAUCAUUAGUCUUUUAAUUGGAGGCUCGUAUGAAUGGUUGGACAAAAAGCAAACUGUCUCAAUUAUAUUUAUUGAAUUUAACUUUUAAGUGAAAAGGCUUAAAUAAAUUAAGGGGACGAUAAGACCCUAUAAAGCUUUACAAUAAGUUACCUAUAUUAUAAAUUGUUAGUAUAACUUGAGUUUAGGUAACGUUUGUUGCGUUGGGGCGACGAGAAUAUAAUAAGUAACUGUUCUUAAGUUAUUUAAUGACAGAAAUUUCUGGAAAAUUAAUGAUCCUCUACUAGAGAUCAUAAGAUUAAGUUACUUUAGGGAUAACAGCGUAAUCUUCUUUGAGAGUCCACAUCGACAGGAAGGGUUGCGACCCCGAUGUUGAAUUAAGGA
rnacentral:rRNA from 1 species